GACGAACGCUGGCGGCGUGCCUAACACAUGCAAGUCGAGCGGGGUUGAAGCGAGGGGUAACUCGAGUUUCUACCUAGCGGCGGACGGGUGAGUAACGCGUGGGCAACCUGCCUCAAGGGCUGGGAUAACAGCUCGAAAGGGCUGCUAAUACCGGAUAAGCCUAUGGCCUCGCAUGGGGCCAUGAGCAAAGGGGAAACCCGCCUUGAGAUGGGCCCGCGUCCCAUCAGCUAGUUGGUGAGGUGAAGGCUCACCAAGGCGACGACGGGUAGCCGGCCUGAGAGGGUGACCGGCCACACUGGGACUGAGACACGGCCCAGACUCCUACGGGGGCAGCAGUGGGGAAUCUUGCACAAUGGGCGAAAGCCUGAUGCAGCGACGCCGCGUGAGCGAAGAAGGCCUUCGGGUUGUAAAGCUCUGUCUGGAGGGACGAAGGAAGUGACGGUACCUCCGGAGGAAGCCACGGCUAACUACGUG
rnacentral:rRNA from 1 species